ACACUUACCUGGCAGGGGAGAUACCGUGAUUAUGAAGGUGGUUUUCCCAGAGUGAAGCUUAUCCAUUGCACUCUGGAUGUGCUGACCCUUGCGAUUUCCCCAAAUUUGGGGAACUCAACUGCAUAAUUUGUGGUAGUAGGGACUGCAUUUGUACUCCCCUGA
ensembl:snRNA U1 U1 spliceosomal RNA